rnacentral:rRNA from 1 species
GAUGAACGCUAGCGAUAGGCUUAACACAUGCAAGUCGAGGGGCAGCACAAGGUAGCUUGCUAUCUGGGUGGCGACCGGCGCACGGGUGCGUAACGCGUAUGCAACUUGCCCUAUACAGGAGGAUAACCCGUCGAAAGACGGACUAAUACUGCGUAUGCUCACAACUUGGCAUCAAGUGGUGAGGAAAGAAAUUCGGUAUAGGAUAGGCAUGCGUCCCAUUAGCUUGUUGGUGAGGUAACGGCUCACCAAGGCAACGAUGGGUAGGGGAACUGAGAGGUUUAUCCCCCACACUGGUACUGAGACACGGACCAGACUACUACGGGAGGCAGCAGUGAGGAAUAUUGGUCAAUGGGCGCGAGCCUGAACCAGCCAAGUCGCGUGAAGGAUGACUGUCUUAUGGAUUGUAAACUUCUUUUAUACGGGAAUAACAAGAGUCACGUGUGACUCCCUGCAUGUACCGUAUGAAUAAGCAUCGGCUAACUCCGUGC